UUCCAGGUAGUGGCGGCGUGGGCCAUGGCAAGGAAGUCAGCUUUUAGUGGCAGAGUCGGUCUUUCCUCGAGUCUCGUGUAUGUCGGCACAGGAGUCUGUGUUUAUUAUUUAUCAUGUGACCGCUGUGAUAGUGGGGUUCCCGUAGUGCAUGCAUGUGUUUAGCUUUGCUUCCGUUGCUCUCAUUUUUGAGUAUGCAUGCCAGGGUGGUUUUUGUCUCAUGUUUCAUUAUUUUUCCCUUCCGUAGGCGCUCCCGUUCGGGUAGUCCGGGCGGCUGGGAUAUCCGGGCGGGGGUGCUUACACAAUGUAUAGGUAUUUAUAUCGAAAGGGGGAGCAUGACGUUGUAAAUUCCCAAAAAAAAAAUUGACUAACCGUUGGCAUAUUUGAUCGAAAGAGGUCAACCCAAACA